rnacentral:rRNA from 1 species
GAUGAACGCUGGCGGCGUGCUUAACACAUGCAAGUCGAACGGUGAACGAGGGAGCUUGCUCCCUCCGGAUCAGUGGCGAGCGGGUGAGUAACACGUGAGCAAUCUGCCCCGGACUCUGGGAUAAGCGUUGGAAACGACGUCUAAUACCGGAUACGAGGCGUGGGGGCAUCCCCAACGCCUGGAAAGAACUUCGGUCCAGGAUGAGCUCGCGGCCUAUCAGCUAGUUGGUGAGGUAACGGCUCACCAAGGCGACGACGGGUAGCCGGCCUGAGAGGGUGACCGGCCACACUGGGACUGAGACACGGCCCAGACUCCUACGGGAGGCAGCAGUGGGGAAUAUUGCACAAUGGGCGCAAGCCUGAUGCAGCAACGCCGCGUGAGGGACGACGGCCUUCGGGUUGUAAACCUCUUUUAGCAGGGAAGAAGCGAAAGUGACGGUACCUGCAGAAAAAGCACCGGCUAACUACGUGCCAGCAGCCGCAGUAACAC